AUUGAACGCUGGCGGCAGGCCUAACACAUGCAAGUCGAACGAGGGGCGGACGGGUGAGUAAUGUCUGGGAAACUGCCUGAUGGAGGGGGAUAACUACCGGAAACGGUAGCUAAUAACGCAUACCAUAAGCUGCGCCCAGAUGGGAUUAGGUUGUUGGUAGGGUAACGGCUCACCAAGGCGACGAUCCCUAGCUGGUCUGAGAGGAUGACCAGCCACACUGGGACUGAGACACGGUCCAGACUCCUACGGGAGGCAGCAGUGGGGAAUAUUGCACAAUGGGCGCAAGCCUGAUGCAGCCAUGCCGCGUGAAUGAAGAAGGCCUUCGGGUUGUAAAGUACUUUCAGUGGGGAGGCGUUAACCGAAGAAGAAGCACCGGCUAACUCCGUGCCAGCAGCCGCGGUAAUAC
rnacentral:rRNA from 1 species